rnacentral:rRNA from 1 species
GAGACAGGUGGUGCAUGGUUGUCGUCAGCUCGUGUCGUGAGAUGUUAGGUUAAGUCCCGCAACGAGCGCAACCCUUAUCUUUAGUAGCCAGCGGUUUGGCCGGGCACUCUAGAGAGACUGCCAGGGAUAACCUGGAGGAAGGCGGGGAUGACGUCAAAUCAUCAUGCCCCUUAUGAGCAGGGCUACACACGUGCUACAAUGGCGUAAACAAAGGGAGGCGAAGCCGCGAGGUGGAGCAAAUCCCAAAAAUAACGUCUCAGUUCGGAUUGUAGUCUGCAACUCGACUACAUGAAGCUGGAAUCGCUAGUAAUCGCAAAUCAGAAUGUUGCGGUGAAUACGUUCCCGGGUCUUGUACACACCGCCCGUCACACCAUGGGAGUUGGUAACGCCCGAAGUCAGUGACCCAACCGUAAGGAGGGAGCUGCCGAAGGCGGGACUGAUGACUGGGGUGAAGUCGUAACAAGGUAGCCGUAUCGGAAGGUGCGGUUGGAUCACCUC